CCUACGGGUGGCAGCAGUGGGGAAUUUUGGACAAUGGGGGCAACCCUGAUCCAGCCAUGCCGCGUGCGGGAAGAAGGCCUUCGGGUUGUAAACCUCUUUUGUCAGGGAAGAAAUCUUCCGAGCUAAUACCUUGGGAGGAUGACGGUACCUGAAGAAUAAGCACCGGCUAACUACGUGCCAGCAGCCGCGGUAAUACGUAGGGUGCAGACGUUAAUCGAAGUUACUGGGCGCGAUUGUGCAGCAGGCGGUUGAAAUCCCCGGGCUUACCCUGGGAACUGCACUUGUGACUGUACGGCUGGAGUACGGCAGAGGGGGAUGGAAUUCCGCGUGUAGCAGUGAAAUGCGUAGAUAUGCGGAGGAACACCGAUGGCGAAGGCAGUCCCCUGGGCCUGUACUGACGCUCAUGCACGAAAGCGUGGGGAGCAAACAGGAUUAGAUACCCCGGUAGUC
rnacentral:rRNA from 1 species